GACGAACGCUGGCGGCGUGCUUAACACAUGCAAGUCGAACGAAGUGGCGAACGGGUGAGUAAUACGUGGGUAACCUGCCCUCCUUUUUGGGAUAAGCCUUGGAAACGGGGUCUACUACCGAAUAAAGGGGGAUGGGCUCGCGGCCUAUCAGCUUGUUGGUGGGGUGAUGGCCUACCAAGGGGGUGACGGGUAGCGGGGCUGAGAGGGUGCACGGCGACAUGGGGACUGACAUACGGCCCAGAGUACGCCGGGGGGCAGCAUUGGGGGAUAUGGAACAAUGGGCGAAAGCCUGAUGCAGCGACGCCGCGUGGGGGUUGAAGGUUUUAGGGUUGUAAACCUAUUGCGCAAUCGAACGGGUAGCUGGAGAAGAAGCGCCGGCUAACUACGUGCCAGCAGCCGCGGUAAUAC
rnacentral:rRNA from 1 species